rnacentral:piRNA from 1 species
UAUUGGAGCUGAGACAACACGGAAAG